CAUGAAAAGGAAUCUCCUUUAUUACAUUGUGGAAAUUAUCUCUUCCCUCCUUUUCCUCUUUCCUCUCUCUCUUUUACUAAAUUAUACUUCCUCCUCAAAUUGCCUCCAUUUCUUUCUAAAUUAACCAAAGUUGUCUAGCAUCAGAGGAAACUUUAGAUUUUUCUUUCUCAUGGGUGUUGCUGUUCUUAAUCCUCAUGAUUCCCUCCAGAAUCCUUUUUCUUCUCGACAAGAUUUGAUAUCGCCUCCUCCUCGCAUGAAACAUCCUCGAAACGCCAAUUGGCCAAAUCCGAACCGGCCGAAUCGGGCUCAACCCAACCGUAGGAAGCGUAGCCCCAACACAUCACCUCCCUCACGCGCCGCCGUUGCUGCUUCUCAUGUCCCAGCCAAUAACCUGAUUAUGGGCCAUGUCAAAAUUCUUAAGCGCGGUGAACAAUUAGCUAAAACGACGCCGGAGAAGGUGUCUCAGUCUGCUAAAGUUGAGAAAAUUGAAGAUCUAGAUCUGGGUUCGACUCAUUGGCUUGGCCCAGAACCUGAGCUGGUACCAACUCAGAUCAGACUCUCUGAGUCUAAAGCAUAUGGCUUUUAUGCUGGAUCGGCUUUUAUUACUUCGCCGCCACCCAGUUCGCUUCCUUUGCCGGCUUUUUUCAUGAAAAAGAGUGUUGUGGGUGUGAAGAACACCGAUGCUACUAGUGAUUUACGACGGAUUCUAGGCCUCAGCUUCUAGUUAAUAGGCCAUAGAAUUUAGGGGUGUGAUGUGAAGGUUUCUCUUUUGUGUUUUCAACGGGUCUUCUCUUAUUUUUUCAAGGGGAAGAUCGAGUUUGCUUUAUCAACUACGCGAUUGUGCAAUUAGGCACUUUCGCGGUACCUAAUUAGUGAUGCUAAUGUAUCGCUUUGGUUAGGAUUAGCUAAAUUAUAUCUGCAUAGGAUCUAGUUGGGGUAUGGUUUGGGAUUUGGGGGAUUUUGUGGUUUGUUGUUUGUCUUUUUUAAGUACUGUUACUUAGAUGCAGCUGAUAUUAUUGUACCUGGGAAUUAGUUUGUGUAUUAUCUUGUAUGCAGCUAUAAGUUGUCUGAAUGAAA
rnacentral:misc_RNA from 1 species